CUGCUUAUUGUAAUUCUCCCUGAUAAUAAUGGUUCCCUUUAUGGUAAGGAGUUGACACAGUAGAUUCAGUGUUGAUUUCAUUCAUCUAAUCUUCUGUAGAUAAACGAUAUCUGCUGGUCAUCACAAUUCCUAUGUGUUACUUGCUGCAGGUGAUUUGAAACGGAUAUGUGAGACAGAUCUUGGCCUUGUUUCUCAGUGUUGUUUAACAAAGCAUGUAUUCAGAAUGAGUAAGCAGUAUUUGGCCAAUGUGGCUUUGAAGAUAAAUGUGAAGGUUGGAGGAAGAAAUACUGUACUUGUUGAUGCAAUAUCAAGGCGCAUUCCUUUAGUCAGCGACCGGCCCACUAUUAUUUUUGGUGCUGAUGUUACCCAUCCUCAUCCUGGGGAAGACUCAAGCCCAUCUAUUGCAGCUGUAUUCUAUCUUUCUCCACUCUUCUGAAUGCCUCUUAUCUUGUAUUCACUGAAUUUGAUCUUGCCUUUUGCAAUUUGAACUGACAAAAGGUUUUUGAAAUUGAAAUGCAGGUUGUGGCUUCUCAGGAUUGGC
rnacentral:lncRNA from 1 species